AAUAUAUAGUAAUAGGAAUAUUACUACCUAUACCUAUUCAAUAUAAUUCUAAUAACUUGUCUAACUUCAUCUAUGUAUUUAAAUCAAUUCACAGUUGUAAGAAAAAUUCACUUCAUUUUGACAUAUUAUUGUCUUUGUUUGAAAUUUUUUAUAAAAUGGAUUUCAAGCGCAAUAAAGAACAUCAUCUGAUAAUGAUAACGAUGAUUGUAAUGAAAAAAAGUUAAAAACCAGGGAUACCGUAGUUCGGAUUUUAUUUAAUCACAAUUGAAUAGAUAUGGAAAAUCUGCAAUUCGAUCAUAGAAUCAAAUGCAUAAUAAGAAUAGCAAACAGGAUAAUUUAUAGGUGUUAAAAAACUAAGUUCGUACAGACGAGUAUUAUUAUAGAUGAUCAUUAUGGAAGACGUCCCGUCUACAAUGAAGACCUUUAACUGAGAAUACGUUAAAAAUAAUUUGAAUGAUAAUAUUUUAUAUUAUAUUUUAAUUUUUGUUUGUAUAUUAACCAAAUUCAUUUUAAUUAUAAUUAUCAUUUGAACUCUAUACAUAGCUUCGCUAUAAUUAUUAUUACUGAACGUUUUAACUAAUUAUUAAAUGCUGAACAUUAUAUAAAUAAAUGAUUAA